rnacentral:rRNA from 1 species
AACGAACGCUGGCGGCAGGCUUAACACAUGCAAGUCGAACGCAUCGCAAGAUGAGUGGCAGACGGGUGAGUAACGCGUGGGAACAUACCCUUUUCUACGGAAUAGCUCUGGGAAACUGGAAUUAAUACCGUAUACGCCCUACGGGGGAAAGAUUUAUCGGGGAAGGAUUGGCCCGCGUUGGAUUAGCUAGUUGGUGGGGUAAAGGCCUACCAAGGCGACGAUCCAUAGCUGGUCUGAGAGGAUGAUCAGCCACAUUGGGACUGAGACACGGCCCAAACUCCUACGGGAGGCAGCAGUGGGGAAUAUUGGACAAUGGGCGCAAGCCUGAUCCAGCCAUGCCGCGUGAGUGAUGAAGGCCUUAGGGUUGUAAAGCUCUUUCGCCGAUGAAGAUAGUGACGGUAGUCGGAGAAGAAGCCCCGGCUAACUUCGUGCCAGCCGCCGCGGUAACAC